GACGAACGCUGGCGGCGCGCUUAACACAUGCAAGUCGAGCGAGAACCCAGGCUUCGGCCUGGGGGAAAGCGGCGAACGGGUGAGUAACACGUGGGUAAUCUGCCCUCGGCAUCGGGAUAGCCCGGGGAAACCCGGAUUAAUACCGAAUGGCCCAUCUGCUCUUCGGAGCGGCUGGAAAAGGUAGCUUUGGCCUCCGGCCGAGGAGGAGCCCGCGGCGGAUUAGCUUGUUGGUGAGGUAACGGCUCACCAAGGCGACGAUCCGUAGCUGGUCUGAGAGGACGAUCAGCCACACUGGGACUGAGACACGGCCCAGACUCCUACGGGAGGCGGCAGUGGGGAAUCUUGCGCAAGGGGCGAAAGCCUGACGCAGCGACGCCGCGUGCGGGAAGAAGGCCUUCGGGUUGUAAACCGCUUUCAGGAGGGACGAAGCCACUCGGGUUAAUAGCCCAGAGGGUGACGGUACCUCCAGAAGAAGCCCCGGCUAACUACGUGCCAGCCGCCGCAGUAAUAC
rnacentral:rRNA from 1 species